UCUGUGGUCCUGUGUGAGUCGCUCCAGAGCUUCAGUUCAGAGGGAGGCUCUUCAGUGAGCAGACAUUGACUAUGACGUGUAGGGAGCAGAGACGGCCAUGGGUGCUGGGUAGAGAGAGAGGACUGAAGAGGAGAAGAAGCCAGAGAGUUUCCUAGAACAUGUGACCACUAAACUGAGCCCUGGGAGUAACAUCUGGACCCCUGUAGAAGGUCACUGGGAAAGAAACUCCAGAGGAAAACUGGUCCAAGCAUCUAGAGGCAAACUAGUUCACAUGGGGCAUGAAGACAAUGAGGUUCUGGGGGCAUUAGGCUCCACCGAUUAUAAUCAAAACUGCAGAAAAACCUGCUUCUGAAUAGCCUCUGUGGGAUGUAUCGUUUAGAGCUGUAAAUCGCCAUCACACUGAGUCCCUUCCACCAGAACACGCCGGACAUUAGGCAAGACAUGUCCACCCCUAAACUUUCCUUCUCCCAGUGGGUCUCGAAUCCCUCUGGGUCAGCACUGUGAAUGUUACUUUGCCAGUUAAAGGCAGCCUAGAAAUCUGCAGAAUCUGAAAAUAUCAGAAGGUGAUUCGAUUAUAAAAACAUUAGAUUUGGGCCUUGUCUCCUGGAAGGCAGCAAGGAAGGAACAGCUCCUAAGUGCGUUGGGAGAACCUGAAUUUGCAUUUCUUGGCUAUAACAAAAUGUCAGCUGGUAAGUUAAUGGGCUGAUAAUUACUGUUCUUCUCUGUCAACAGGUUCUUAGGGUGCUGGUAAAUGGAAAUCCAGAUCUCUGCUCGGAGAUCAAAUAUAUCCUGGACUUGCCUGAAAGGGGUCAGAAAAAUUAAGUGAGAUAAAUGGGCAGAGAGGUUCGAGCGAAUGCCUUUGAUUUGUGCAAGAGAGCCGUAAAAAUAAAAUCUCUGGGGCCAUUUCAUCUUACAUCAGAAACCAAGCUUACCUCCCACUAUAUAGGGUCAGCAUGGUGUCUCUCUCAAAUGUUCAAGAAAGGGGGUGAAGGCCUGGGCACAUGAAAGCAUAUUUGACUGAACCUGUCAUAAAUGGCUUUCAGAACACUGGAACCUGGUGUUAUGGGUAUGCCCAAACAAAGCCUUUUCCCUCACGUGUCCCAUCUGUGGGACAGUAGUCCCAACUUGAGCUGUUACAGUGAGGACUGGCCUGCACAGAACAACCAGUGAGUUUGGGUAUAACAUGGUGAGCUCCACUGGAGCUCUAUGACUUGUCAAUCCCACAUUCCAGAAGCCCAAGGCUUGUUUUUUUUUUUCCUCCUUGAGCUAGCUGGUCCAUGUGGGUGACACCGACGACAAUGAUGAAUUCCACAUUUGAAUCCGUAGCCCAGGCUCCCCUCUGCAUGUCCCCCAAAGGCCUGCUCAACAUCGCACUUGAAUAUCUCACUGAUUUGCUUCUGGUGAAAGGCCCCCACCUUCAACAACUCAGCUCAAGCCCCAAAUGUAACAGUCCCAACGCCACACCUUCUCUCUGCCAUAAACCUCCUCACUCCCGGCACCUGUUUUUUCGUUUCUGAUGUCAUCUUUGUAUCCAUCCUCUUAUUCCCGACAGCUCCCCGCAUCCCAAUCUCACACCCCACCCUCUCAUGCUAAAUUAGCUUCCUCAGUGUCCUCCCCGCCUUCCUCUGCAUUUUGACCUGGAGCUCAGCCUGGCUUGUGAUUGCACACGUGUGGAUGCCAUCAUUCCAUUCCCUUUUGUGGCUCACGAACUAGUCAUGUGACCAGAGACUGCUGUGUGGGACACAUGGCACAGUACGUACUGGAGGGUGAAUGAAUCACUCAGCUCACCUAUAGAGAGAAUCUUCAAUGUUUGCACUGGUUCACCAGAAUGAUUUAAAACAGGAAGCUCUGGGGACCAAAAGGAGAGCAUUUGACACCAGGAAGCAUACUGAGGACACCUCCAAAUGUUCCAAGACAUACAGAGCAGGAAGACAUGGUCCAGGAUGGACAUCAUCAGUUUGGUGCGCAGCUCUGUGCCUUUUCCUGCGGGAUCGUGACUGAUGUAGCAGGUCCGUGAGUAUAAGCAGCCAUGGUGUUCCUGACUCACCUCAAACACCUGCCAGUUUUCACUGAAGUAAAUCUUGACUCCUACAGCUGUCAUCAAAACGUGCUCUGAACCAGCAAUGACAUCAUGGCACUGCUGAGAUGGAGUCCUCAAGACGGAACUUUCUAAAGCCUGUGUAGGUGACAAUCCCCUCUGCUCUGUGUAGCUGGGAUUCCAUGGUGAUCGCGGGGCUGGUUAUUUGUUAAAAUGAUUUAGGCACAAAUGUCAGAGGAGAAUUUGGUGUCAUCAAAUUAAAAAACGUCCUCUAAGCUGAGACUGAUGAAUGUGCUGAGAUCUGCUCCCAGCCAUUCAGAACGAAUCCUGAAAGAAUAAUAAACCAGGCCACCAGUGACAUUUGCAGAGAGGAAGAACACCGUCUAAGCCAUUAAGACCUCUGAUGCCAGUUCUGCUGCAGAGGGGGAGAAGUAAACCAAUUCUCACACUCCGUGGUCACCUCAGGGAACUCAGCCAGACCACAGACAGGUCAAAAUACGACCGAACUUGUAUUAAGCAAGAGUCAAGUCUGCAGUGAGGAGCAGAUGUGAAUGUAAAACUCUCAGAUACUGCUCCAGCACCAUGCCUGCCUGUCUGCUUCCUGCCAUGAUGAUAAUGGACUAACCCUCGGAAACGAUGGGUCUGAAAUUCUUGCUCAGAGACAUAUGAAGUGGCUAUGCUGAGAGGAAAUUAUAUCCGGCUUUCUGUUUCUGCUCAGCGCUUUCCCCUGGACGCCACCCACCUGGGGAUGUCAAAAGAGAAAAUCCAGGGUGCUGGACAGAUGGCUCCGUGGCGAAGACCACUGGCUGCUCUUGCAGACAACCAAGGUUUCCUUCCCGGCACUCAUGUGGGUGCUCAAAACCAUCUGUGAUUCCAGCUCCAGGGCAUCUGGCGCCCUCUUCUGGCCUCCAUAGAUACUGCAAAUACAGGAUGCACAUACAUACACUUAGGCAAACACUUGUAAACAUAAAAUAAAAAUAAGGAAACCCAAGGCAGGUGUCAGAGGAAGAAUACACAUGAGAACACAACAGUCCACCCUGGAAGGUCCUGACUGGUGUCCCUUGUGGCUCUAGACUGGUCACCAAAAAUGCUCCAGGCUGCUGACCAAAGGGCAGGUUACAUUUAUAACCAGAGAGAAGGCAAUAAGGUGAAGAAAUUGGACGAGGUGGAGAUGAUCUGUCUUAUUUGAACUGUUUGGCUGGCUGUUGGUGAAAGGCCAAGGCUCUGUGAUUUAUUACAAGGUGGGUUCCACAUCACCUUAGGCUGCAGUUCAGUAUUUAUGCAGAAACUUUUGACCAAACUUAAAAAUACAAUCCUGUACUGGCUGGUUUUAUGUCAACUAGACAUAGGCUAGAGUCAUCAGAGGGGAGGGAGCCUCCACUGAGAAAAUACCUCCAAAAGAUCAGUCUGUAGGCAAGCCUGUUGAGCAUUUUCUUAAUUAGUGAUUCAUGAGGGACAGCCCAGCCCAUUGUGGUGGUGCCAUCCCUGGGGUGGUGGUCCUGGAUUGUAUAAGAAAGCAGGCUGAGCAGCCAUGAGGAGCAAGCCAGUAAGCAGCACCCCUCUAUGGCCUCUGCAUCAGCUCCUGCCUCCAGGUUCCUGCCCUGCUUGAGUUCCUGUCCUGACUUACUUCCGUGAAGAACAGCUAUAUGGAAAUGUAAGCCAAACAAACCAUUUCCUCCCCAAGUUGCUUUUGGUCAUGGUGUUUCAUUGCAGCAAUUGAAACUCUAACUAAGACACACUCCCAGACAGCUUUAAUCCAAACGGGUACAACGGGUAUAUCCACUGUAGAGACAAGAACCACCUUGGGUCCCUCACAGCCUUCCCAGAGGCGGUCCUGAAGUGAGGCCCUUAGGACCCUCUCUUGAUCUGCUUGCCUCUCCCUCAUCCUGCUGUCUCCCCUCAAAGCUGCUCACCUUUUUCUCUUGCUUAAUUGCUGUUUAUCAAGAUUUUGGAAGAUGUAGCCCAGGCUAGGGCAAGAGCCUUACGCUAUCCCAUAUAUAUGCAUUUUCUUUAAAAAAAAAAAAAAAAAAAAAACAUCUGGAAUUAGCUCAUAAUCCAUUUCCACUUUGGGGGGAGACCUUAGUCAGUCUUUCUGGUGGGCUGUUGCAUUCAGCUCCAAGUGUGUCCCGACGUGGCUUAGAGCAGCCCCCCUGCAGCAGCAGCUGGAGUCACUUCCCUCCCACAGAAGCAGAGGCAGCAGGAUGCAGCAAGCCUGCAUUCAAAAGAAAUCCUUCUGAGGUGAUGGAGUGAGCAAGGAGUGAUUGGACAGUCAGCUCUCAGAACCAGAAGAGGUCAGGGUGACUUGGGCUGAUAUGUGGUUGAAUAGCAUUUGCGGACAGAAAAGGGGAGGUAUUUGUAUAGAAUUUGGCCAGCACAGAGACUAGCUGGCCACUCAGCUUCUGCGAUUGCCUGGCACUCAGAGGUUGGUUGCAAAUUCCUGAGUGAGGUUUUAAGUUGGUGUGCCAAGUUUGGUUGCGGUUCACAUGCAGGACUGUGCCGAGGCUUUGAAAAUCCUAUUCAGUUUAACUCAACACCAUCAAGACCACGGAACCCUGCAUGUUGACUGAUACUCUGCUUUUUGGACUAUUACUGUGUGUACAUAAGAAUAAAUAGUGUGUGACUCUUAUGCUUUCUAUGAGGUACUUAGAUCCACCACAGAAAAACAGAGGUUACCAGGGGCUGGCACAAAAAUGGGAGUGGUGUGUGUGUGUGUGUGUGUGUGUGUGUGUGUAUGUGUGUGUGUGUGUUAUAUAUGUGUGUCAGGAUGUUUGCACCUGUGUGCAAGGCCAGAGGAGGCUGUCGAGUGUCCUUCUCUAUUUUCGUUCUUUGAGAUAAGGAUGUGUCCCUGAAGCUGGAGUUGGGCAGUGGCCCUCCAGCCCUAGCAAUCCUCUGCCUUUGCGCCCACAGUGCUGGCGGUCUGUGUUCUCUGUCAUAUGUGGCUUUUCAUGAGGAUGCUGAAGAUUUGAAUUCAGGUCCUCAUGUUUGUGCAGCAAGAACUCUUGCUCACCAAGUCAUCUCUUCAGCCCCCUGGAAGCAGAGAAAUGCAGCUUGGAAAGAAGAAAAUGUUACAGAGAUACACAGUGGUGACUGUUACCACAACACGAAUAUAUCUCAUAGCACUGAGCUAUACACUUAAGAGUGUGUAGUUAAAAAUUUUAUUACAAGUAUUCUAAGACAAUUAAACAAACUUGAGUGUGCAGUGAUUUCUAGGGGACAGAUAGGCCUGGAGGAGAGCUUAGAAGACCCCAGACCAUUCCCAGGGAGGACACCCUCUGGGUGAGGCUCCAUUGACGUAGAGGCCAACUUGUCCUGUGCAAGAGACCUACUCCUCACCUCUGCAGUAUGUGAGCACUCCUCAGUGGACACAUGGCAUCAGGAAGAUGAAGUACACAUGUCUGACUUCUUCCAAAGGACCAUCCAUCAGGUAGAACAUCCCUUCUGAGCCACUCGAUGGCAUUGAAAACAAACCAUACCCAUCAGGGACUGCAAGGGUAACUCCUCAAGUCAUACCAUCCUUCCAGAGUGUAAGCAGAGAUGCCCCAGGACCACAGUUGACUGCUGCUAGGAUUUGAAUAGUAUCCCUUAACGGUACAUGUGGUAAAGGCUUAGUCUAACAAGGUGGUACUGGUGGGAGGUAGUGCCUAAUGGGAUUUCCUUGGGUCAUUGGGUAUGUGCCCUUAAAGAGAACUGUGGGACACCAACCUCUUCCUUGGUUCCUUUGGCUUCUUAACCUUCAGAUAAACAGUUGCAUCCCCCUGCACUGCCCAUUCUUACUACCCAGUCCUCUCAUCAGAGACCCAAAGCACCAUGUCUGCGGAUUUUGGACACAAGCCUCCAAAACCGUGAUGGAAGACUGACCAAUAUCCCAGAGGCUACAGGACAGAAGCUUGUCCUCGUCACUUCUUUACUAGCAGUUCUAGGACCGUUUUCAGAGGCACCAAAAUUAGUUUCACGCUCUUCCUCUCACACAGCCCUAUACCUCACAAGGACGUUCCAGUCGGUGAAAGGCUGCGCAGAUGGUGUGAGUCUAAUAAAAUAUAAUGGAGCCAAAAGUCCCCAGUGCUCAGGGAUGUUGUAACUGUGAUAACAUCAGGAUGCAGCGCAGUUCCGAUGUGCUGCGUUGGUGCUGGCGCCAACAAGCCUGCCCUGUGGUCCCCUGUACAGAAACAGUACAUAUGUGUGUGUGGCAUGCAAUGCCUGACAACGAUAGUAGAUGACUGUGAACUGGGUUAUGUAUUUGUCAUGCUGUGUCUUUAUUGCUAUUUGAACAUGCACUGCUUGAAGACAGACCCGCAACGCCGGCAGCCGCCUCACGCGUCUGAUUAUCUCAUCUCCAGCUGCAUCCUCUUCUCUUGUACUUGACUCAAAAUCAUGUUGUUCCAUUUGUCGUAGUCCCAGGAGCAACUCUCCACACCCCAUGCAGCAUGGACGCACAGCCAUCAGGGUGUGUUAAAUGUAUGCUGUGAUGUGGGAAAGUGCUUGUUAGGUCUUGUGAGCCUGUCACAAACUAGAGCCACCUGGGAAGCGCGAACCUCAGCUGAGGAAUUGCCUCCAUUAGGUGGGUCUAUGGGUGUGUCUGUGGGACAGUUUCUUGAUUAAUGAGGGUGCAGCCCACUGUGGGAGGUGCCACCUCUAGGCACGUGGUCCUGGGGUCUUAGUUUGGGUUUCUGUUGUUGUGAAGAGACAUCUUGACCAUGACAACUCUUAUAAAGGAAAACAUUUAAUUGGCAAUGGUUUACAGUUUCAGAGGUUUAGUCCAUUAUCAUCAUGGUGGGACAUACAGAAGGACGCAGGCAGACAUGGUGCUGGAGAAGGAGCUGAGAGUUCUACAUCUUGAUCAGCAGGCAACAGGAAAUGGACUGUGUGCUGGGAGUAGCUUGAGCAUAUGAGACCUCAAAGCCCACCCCCACAGUGGCACACUUCCUCCAACAAGGCCACACCUACUCCAACAAAGCCACACCUCCUCACAGUGCCACUCCCUAUGGGGACCAUUUUCUUUCAAACCCCCACAUCUGGCUUAUAUAAGAAAGUAGGCUGAACAAACCAUGAAGAGCAAGCCAGGGAACAGUGUUCCUUCAUGGUCUCUACUUCAAUUCCUGCUUCUGGGUUCCUGCCUUGAGUCCCUGCCUUGGUGUCCCUUGAUGAUGGACUGUAAUCUGUAAGC